rnacentral:rRNA from 1 species
AUGAACGCUAGCUACAGGCUUAACACAUGCAAGUCGAGGGGCAGCAUGGUCUUAGCUUGCUAAGGCCGAUGGCGACCGGCGCACGGGUGAGUAACACGUAUCCAACCUGCCGUCUACUCUUGGACAGCCUUCUGAAAGGAAGAUUAAUACAAGAUGGCAUCAUGAGUCCGCAUGUUCACAUGAUUAAAGGUAUUCCGGUAGACGAUGGGGAUGCGUUCCAUUAGAUAGUAGGCGGGGUAACGGCCCACCUAGUCUUCGAUGGAUAGGGGUUCUGAGAGGAAGGUCCCCCACAUUGGAACUGAGACACGGUCCAAACUCCUACGGGAGGCAGCAGUGAGGAAUAUUGGUCAAUGGGCGAGAGCCUGAACCAGCCAAGUAGCGUGAAGGAUGACUGCCCUAUGGGUUGUAAACUUCUUUUAUAAAGGAAUAAAGUCGGGUAUGGAUACCCGUUUGCAUGUACUUUAUGAAUAAGGAUCGGCUAACUCCGUGCCAGCAGCCGCGGUAAUACGGAGGAUCCGAGCGUUAUCCGGAUUUAUUGGGUUUAAAGGGAGCGUAGAUGGAUGUUUAAGUCAGUUGUGAAAGUUUGCGGCUCAACCGUAAAAUUGCAGUUGAUACUGGAUAUCUUGAGUGCAGUUGAGGCAGGCGGAAUUCGUGGUGUAGCGGUGAAAUGCUUAGAUAUCACGAAGAACUCCGAUUGCGAAGGCAGCCUGCUAAGCUGCAACUGACAUUGAGGCUCGAAAGUGUGGGUAUCAAACAGGAUUAGAUACCCUGGUAGUCCACACGGUAAACGAUGAAUACUCGCUGUUUGCGAUAUACUGCAAGCGGCCAAGCGAAAGCGUUAAGUAUUCCACCUGGGGAGUACGCCGGCAACGGUGAAACUCAAAGGAAUUGACGGGGGCCCGCACAAGCGGAGGAACAUGUGGUUUAAUUCGAUGAUACGCGAGGAACCUUACCCGGGCUUAAAUUGCAGAUGAAUUACGGUGAAAGCCGUAAGCCGCAAGGCAUCUGUGAAGGUGCUGCAUGGUUGUCGUCAGCUCGUGCCGUGAGGUGUCGGCUUAAGUGCCAUAACGAGCGCAACCCUUGUUGUCAGUUACUAACAGGUUCCGCUGAGGACUCUGACAAGACUGCCAUCGUAAGAUGUGAGGAAGGUGGGGAUGACGUCAAAUCAGCACGGCCCUUACGUCCGGGGCUACACACGUGUUACAAUGGGGGGUACAGAGGGCCGCUACCACGCGAGUGGAUGCCAAUCCCCAAAACCUCUCUCAGUUCGGACUGGAGUCUGCAACCCGACUCCAUGAAGCUGGAUUCGCUAGUAAUCGCGCAUCAGCCACGGCGCGGUGAAUACGUUCCCGGGCCUUGUACACACCGCCCGUCAAGCCAUGGGAGCCGGGGGUACCUGAAGUGCGUAACCGCGAGGAGCGCCCUAGGGUAAAACUGGUGACUGGGGCU